rnacentral:rRNA from 1 species
UAGGGAAUCUUCCGCAAUGGGCGAAAGCUUGACGGAGCAACGCCGCGUGAGUGAUGAAGGUCUUCGGAUCGUAAAACUCUGUUAUUAGGGAAGAACAAAUGUGUAAGUAACUAUGCACGUCUUGACGGUACCUAAUCAGAAAGCCACGGCUAACUACGUGCCAGCAGCCGUGGUAAUACGUAGGUGGCAAGCGUUAUCCGGAAUUAUUGGGCGUAAAGCGCGCGUAGGCGGUUUUUUAAGUCUGAUGUGAAAGCCCACGGCUCAACCGUGGAGGGUCAUUGGAAACUGGAAAACUUGAGUGCAGAAGAGGAAAGUGGAAUUCCAUGUGUAGCGGUGAAAUGCGCAGAGAUAUGGAGGAACACCAGUGGCGAAGGCGACUUUCUGGUCUGUAACUGACGCUGAUGUGCGAAAGCGUGGGGAUCAAACAGG